ACUUACUGAGUACCUAUUUACUGAACACCUUAUAGAUACUUACUGAGUACCUAUUUACUGAACACCUCUGUGACAGCUCUGAGCUGAUUACUGUAAAUAUAGGAAUUCUCCUAGCAGAUACAGUCACUGCCGUCAUAGAGCUUUUAAACUAGUAAAGAAGAUAAAUAUUAGGCAUUGUAAGUUUGAUAAUUAUUACAAAGGAAAUGUACAGUACAUUUUAAAGACAUGUUACUAGAUCCAUGAAAAAAAUGACAGAUUCAGGACCUAGCAAUAAAUCAGCACAAUUUUUCAAGCAGGCAAUAGAAAUAAUGUGCUUGCCCCCUGAAGCCCUAACAAUGAUUAGCAUCUGCCACCUGAGCAAGGUGCCUGAUGCCAACAUGAAGUCCUAUGUGUCAGGGUGGCUCCAGCUACAAUAAAGAAACCCUCCUACUCAGCUGGCUCAAAUAAUAAGGAAAAUGUAUUUGUCACAUAAUAAAAACCCUAACGUCUAG
rnacentral:lncRNA from 10 species